rnacentral:rRNA from 1 species
GACGAACGCUGGCGGCGUGCUUAACACAUGCAAGUCGAACGGAAAGGCCCUGCUUUUGUGGGGUGCCCGAGUGGCGAACGGGUGAGUAACACGUGAGUAACCUGCCCUUGACUUUGGGAUAACUUCAGGAAACUGGGGCUAAUACCGGAUAGGAGCUCCUACUGCAUGGUGGGGGUUGGAAAGUUUCGGCGGUUGGGGAUGGACUCGCGGCUUAUCAGCUUGUUGGUGGGGUAGUGGCUUACCAAGGCUUUGACGGGUAGCCGGCCUGAGAGGGUGACCGGCCACAUUGGGACUGAGAUACGGCCCAGACUCCUACGGGAGGCAGCAGUGGGGAAUAUUGCACAAUGGGCGGAAGCCUGAUGCAGCAACGCCGCGUGCGGGAUGACGGCCUUCGGGUUGUAAACCGCUUUCGCCUGUGACGAAGCGUGAGUGACGGUAAUGGGUAAAGAAGCACCGGCUAACUACGUG